AUCAUUUCUUGGCCUUUUGGCUAAGAUCAAGUGUAGUAUAUAAUAUACUACUUGUUAUAUGUAAUGUUUUUGUGGAGGUUUU
ensembl:snRNA Rnu2-60 RNA, U2 small nuclear 60